rnacentral:rRNA from 1 species
UGGGCACUCUGGUGAGACUGCCCGGUUAACGGGGAGGAAGGUGGGGACGACGUCAAGUCAUCAUGGCCCUUACGCCUAGGGCUACACACGUACUACAAUGGCGCAUACAAAGGGCAGCGAUACCGCGAGGUGGAGCCAAUCCCAAAAAGUGCCGUACCCAGUCCGGAUUGCAGUCUGCAACUCGACUGCAUGAAGUUGGAAUCGCUAGUAAUUCGAGAUCAGCAUGCUCGGGUGAAUGCGUUCCCGGGGCCUU